rnacentral:rRNA from 1 species
AUUGAACGCUGGCGGCAGGCCUAACACAUGCAAGUCGAACGAGUGGCGGACGGGUGAGUAAUGUCUGGGAAACUGCCCGAUGGAGGGGGAUAACUACUGGAAACGGUAGCUAAUACCGCAUACCUCGGAUGUGCCCAGAUGGGAUUAGCUAGUAGGUGGGGUAAAGGCUCACCUAGGCGACGAUCUCUAGCUGGUCUGAGAGGAUGAUCAGCCACACUGGGACUGGUACAAGGCCCAGACUCAGACGUGAUGCAGCAGGGGGGAAUAUUGCACAAGGGUCGCAAGCCUGAUGCAGCCAUGGCGCGUGUAUGAAGAAGGCCUGCGGGUUGUAAAGUACUUUCAGCGAGGAGGCGUUACUCGCAGAAGAAGCACCGGCUAACUCCGUGCCAGCAGCCGCGGUAAUAC